AGCUCCAAUAGCGUAUAUUAAAGUUGUUGCGGUAAAAAAGCUCGUAGUUGGAUUUCUGUUGAGAACGAUCGGUCCAUACCAUGUAUGCGCAUCUGAUUCGAUCUCGGCAUCCUCUCGAAAGGCAGUUCUGCGCUUGAUUGCGUGGGCUGAAUCUCGGGACUUUUACUUUGAGGAAAUUAGAGUGUUCACGGCAGGCAAUCGCCAGAAUACAUUAGCAUGGAAUAAUAAUAUAGGAUCUUGGUUCUAUUUUGUUGGUUUCUAGAAUUGAGAUAAUGAUUAAUAGGGACAAUUGGGGGCAUUCGUACUGACGCGUUAGAGGUAAAAUUCUUGGAUCGCGUCAUGACGAACUACUGCGAAAGCAUUUGCCAAGGAUGUUUUCA
rnacentral:rRNA from 1 species